AUGGCGCUGCCAGUGGUGCGGACCCUGCGGGCUAUGGCCUGUAGCCUGGACUAGGCCUCCGCAACCGCCUGGCCCUGCCUGCCCGCUGUGGUCCUGGAGGCUGGGAGCGGCUGCCAUCCUGACGCUGCCCAUGGGACCGCUCUGCUCGCAGUGCAUAAAUUCACGGAGAAACAUGAAUGGGUGACAGCAGAGAAUGGUGUUGGGACGGUGGGAAUCAGCAAUUUUGCACAGGAAGCUUUGGGGGAUGUUGUUUACUGUAGUCUACCUGAAGUUGGGACAAAAUUAAACAAACAAGAUGGGUUUGGUGCUUUGGAAAGUGUGAAAGCUGCUAGUGAACUCGGUUCUCCUUUAUCAGGAGAAGUAACUGAAAUUAAUGAAGCUCUGGCAGAAAAUCCAGGACUUGUCAACAAAUCUUGUUAUGAAGAUAGUUGGCUGAUCAAGAGGACCCUGAGUAACCCUUCAGAACUAGAUGAACUAAUGAGUGAAGAAGCAUAUGAGAGAUACGUAAAAUCUAUUGAGGAGUGAAAAUGGAACUCCUGAAUAAACUAGUGUGAAAUAA